rnacentral:lncRNA from 1 species
UUUACUAGUGUUGAUUUGAUGUAGUAAACAUAGACACCUUGAGAUGGAUAUUAUGUUAAACAAUUGCAUUAAGUAGCUAAGUAAUAUGUAUAAGUAUAUGUCAAUUUAAUUCAAAUACAUCCAUUCGGAGUGUUUCAUCCCAUCCUAUAAUGUUCAAACCAAACAUAGCUCUUUUCCCAUGUAUCCAUCUAAUAGGUAAUAUGUUUCUAGCAAAAGUCGCUCUACGUUAUUUUCACAGUUUGUUUUUUUUUCCAUAAAUUUAACACAUAUUUGUCCAUAAAAACUGUCAUUUUCUUUAUUUCUUUUUUUCAUUGUAAUUUUUUUUAAACAACAUAUUAUGAUAUAAGUACGAUAUAUUUUAGAAUUUCAUAUUUUAGA